GCUAAUGGCAGACUCCGGGAGGGCUCAUGCCAAGGAGUACUUCCCAGAAUUUCUGCUGCCAGUGUCCUUGUCCUCACAGUGAGACACAGCCACCCCCCGCCUCUGCAGGAGACCCUCCAACUGUAGCAGACUACAAGCAGCAAAUUCAAGAUGAAGCCAGAGCCUGCUCCUUAUAGCUGUGAGGCAGGGCAGAGAUAAGAAAAACAGAAAAGCCAGAAAUCUCACAAGCACAGCAGGCUAGAAUAAACUGCAGAAGGCCUCCCACACUCAGCAGGUGCUAGUGAAGUCCAGGAGAGUGAAAUCACUUGUCCGUGGAGGCCGGCUCUGGGCUAAGAAGCCAGGGGGUUUCAUCUGCUGAUGCCUCAGAACCCAGAGCCGCCAGCAGGCAGGGGGUUCUUUCACCAGCUGGGCGCUCAGACUUCUGAACCUCGGGGCCGGACCCGAGAACACCCUCUCAGAUCC